GACGAACGCUGGCGGCGUGCUUAACACAUGCAAGUCGAACGGAAAGGCCCUGCUUUUGUGGGGUGCUCGAGUGGCGAACGGGUGAGUAACACGUGAGUAACCUGCCCUGGACUGUGGGAUAACUUCAGGAAACUGGGGCUAAUACCGGAUAGGAGCUCCUGCUGCAUGGUGGGGGUUGGAAAGUUUCGGCGGUGGGGGAUGGACGCGCGGCUUAUCAGCUGGUUGGGGGGGUAGUGGCUUACCAAGGCUUUGACGGGUAGCCGGCCCGGGAGGGUGGACACCGACCUGGGGCCUGCGAUAGGCCCCAGUGUCGAAUGUUGGACAGAAGUCGGAAACCUUGCCCAACCGGCCCGCGCGUGUUGAAGCAGUCCUCCGUUCGUGAUGCCCGUUUUCGGGUUGUAAACCGCUUUCGCCUGUGACGAUGCGUGAGUGACGUUACCGGCUGAAGAAGCACCGGCUAACUACGUG
rnacentral:rRNA from 1 species